AGAGUUGAUAUGGCUCAGGAUGAACGCUAGCGACAGGCUAACACAUGCAAGCGAGGGGCAGCACGGGAGUAGCAAUACUUGGUGGCGACCGGCGCACGGGUGAGUAACGCGUAUGCAACCUACCCGUAAUCAGAGGGGAAUAACCCGGCGAAAGUCGGACUAAUACCGCAUAAAACAGGGGCACCGCAUGGUGAUAUUUGUUAAAGAAAUUCGCUGAUAGAUGGGCAUGCGUUCCAUUAGGUAGUUGGUGAGGUAACGGCUCACCAAGCCGACGAUGGAUAGGGGAACUGAGAGGUUGGUCCCCCACACUGGUACUGAGACACGGACCAGACUCCUACGGGAGGCAGCAGUGAGGAAUAUUGGUCAAUGGGCGGGAGCCUGAACCAGCCAAGUCGCGUGAAGGGAAAGAAGGAUCUAUGGUUCGUAAACUUCUUUUGCGAGGGGAAUAAAGUGCAGGACGUGUCCUGUUUUGUAUGUACCCUGAGAAUAAGGAUCGGCUAACUCCGUGCCAGCAGCUGC
rnacentral:rRNA from 1 species